CUGGGUUUCGUGACUGUUAAGCAACAGUUUCAUUAGCGAAUCAUUGUCUUGCAGAAACAGAGGAUCAGGGUAAAACAGAGGACCAGAACCGUCUUUGGACUCGAGAUGAAUGAGUCUUUUAUCUUCGGUUUCUUGGUCGGAGAAGCAGGUCACGUGAGUAGACGAACCAGGGAAGGAAUCUCGUUGAGAAGAAUCCAUCAACGAAGGUAAUCCGACCGGUUCAAUCCGGUUUAUGUGUGAAUCAAGCAACACUAAAUGGGACAUAUCAACCUUUGUACCAUCGGCACGUUUAUGGAAAACACGGCAAAUAACCCAAUCGUUCUACAUUCACACACAACAAAACAGAACACAAAAUAUCAAUUCAAUUCCACACAAAAAAAGACAAAAAUGUCUUUGAUGUUACCUUAGCUGUCUGGGAAAGAUGUUGGAUAGAAUAUAUGCCUUCUAAUCGAUAUUCAUGCAUAACCCAAUUGGUUCUUACUCCUUUAGGAGCUCUUCCUUUGUAGAAAACCAGAGUCUUCUUCAUACCCACAAGUGAUUUCCCCUUGAAAAUCUCUUUAUCUUUGCCUGUGGCUUUCCAGUAACCGGCUUCAGUUGCCCGGUUUGUCCUUAAACCGGUUGGGUAUUUCCGGUCUCGCACACAAAAGAAAUACCAUUCUUUCUCCCCUAUCUUAGCUUUCCCUAUUCCACCAAAAGCCAUCACAUACAUAUUUGAGUAAUAAUAAAUUACAGAACAAUAAUAACUAACAUAAAAAAGUUUAGAAAAGGCGGAAAAAGUUUAGAAAAGGCAUGAUACUUCAUGCAGUCUCAAACCAUUUGUAAAGUUUUGUGGAAUCAUGUAUAUUAAACAUAUAUAUUAGUUUUUUUUUAACUUCAGAUAUAUAAAUUCAUAUUUACAGCUUUCUUAUAGUACAAACGAUUUUUAAUUCCUGGAAAGGUUGUACACUUACUUGGUAACUCCCAAGGCUCGAUCUUGUUGAGAUCAACUUCACCAAUGGCGGUGGCAGAGAAGAAAGUGUUGAAGACCUUUUGUUUGAGAUAGUGAGUUAUGAGUUCUUCAUCAGUAGGGUGAAAUCUGAAUCCAGGUGGCAGAUCAAUUUGCUCUUCAUCUUCUACUAUUUCACCGAUUCUUGAUGCAUCGUAAUCCAUUUAUCCUAAUAUAGUUUAUUAGAAACAAUCAAAGUUAUGUAAGAGAGAAGAGAAAAGGGUUUUUGAAGAGAGAGAGAGAUUUUUUUUAAAGAGAGAAGAGGAAAGGGUUUGAGCAAACGAAGCUCCUCUCUAUAUACUAGUUUUCCAUCAGAGAAAUAAGGAAAUAAUAUUAUUAUUGUUGAUAUUGACCAAUAAUUGGUCAAUCUUUUGUGUAUCAAGUUCUUCUUUCAAAGUUUCAAACUAUGAGUUGUAUUGAAUUUCAAGAGUUUUCACCUACUAUAAAGAAAACUUUUAUCUUCGCUCUAAAUGAUUUAUUGUAUAUAAAUGGGUUUUCAGAUUUAAAUCUCGUACAGCCAUAAAUCAUAUUAUAAAUCAGAAAAUGGGUGUACACACACAUUAACACAUACUAUAGUUAGUUUUCUUAGUAGGAUAGAGAAAGAAGAAGAUGCGUCGAUUGUUAGGCAACUUAAGAUGUGUAAUAUUCAAAAAUCAUUUCUCAUCAUUAAAAAUAAACCUUUCUAUUUCAAGAACUUUAAUAUUUCCAAGUUUCAAUUUGACCAGGAACACUUCACCUGUGGCUCCCUGUCCCUUUUUUGGUUAAUGUGAUAAGAACAAUCUUAUCACAUUAAAUCCUGAUGUUUUGUCCAUUCUUGAAACUAAUUAUUAGUUGCUGGAAAAAGAAUAUCAGUAGAAAACUAUGAUUAUUGGUUUGAAAACAUUUUACAUUGAAACUAUAUGAUUAUAUAAUUGAAACAUUAUAAAUUACCGCGGGUCACUAUUAUUGGUGUUGUGAUUCAGGAUAACUAUGAGAAAAGAGUUUACCAUGGUUGGAUAUAAUUUGUUUUAUUUACUUAACAAGUGUUAUCCCUCUCAUGAAAAGAUUAUGCAUGCAUGAACCUUGGAAAGUAGAUUCUUUAGUAUUAAAGGAACUCUUUUCUUUGUCCUAUUACAGUGCCUACCGUUAUAAGAAAUUAUAAUACUAGUAUCCAAGAUUUUUUUAAGAAGUUCAGUGAAAAAUUGGAAAGAAAAACGAUUUCCUUGUGAAGAUGGGUAAUGAUGAUGAAUGGAUGAGGACAUGAUGAUGAAAAUCUGUUAGAAUGUGAAGACAUUUUGAACAACCUCAACCUUAUCAUAUGUGAAUUAUUUGAUUUUUUAAUGAUCGAAUCACGCGUUUGUGCAUACGAGGUUGUCAUUUGUCACUUCUACAACAUGUGCAUUUUAUUCUUUUCUAGCCAAAUUUCUUCCUCAGUAUUUUUAUUAUACUUGCUGUUUAAAUCCUUAUAUAAUCGAUGUAUUGGUAUUUUUAAUCAACUAUCCAAAAGCAACCCGAUUCUCCCAUACCGGCUAAAGCGGAGGGGUCAGUACCAGUACCGGGGAACUGGGUUUCGUGACUGUUAAGCAACAGUUUCAUUAGCGAAUCAUUGUCUUGCAGAAACAGAGGAUCAGGGUAAAACAGAGGACCAGAACCGUCUUUGGACUCGAGAUGAAUGAGUCUUUUAUCUUCGGUUUCUUGGUCGGAGAAGCAGGUCACGUGAGUAGACGAACCAGGGAAGGAAUCUCGUUGAGAAGAAUCCAUCAACGAAGGUAAUCCGACCGGUUCAAUCCGGUUUAUGUGUGAAUCAAGCAACACUAAAUGGGACAUAUCAACCUUUGUACCAUCGGCACGUUUAUGGAAAACACGGCAAAUAACCCAAUCGUUCUACAUUCAC
rnacentral:lncRNA from 1 species